ACCGCAGGUCGCCUUAUCGCUCCAAACUUGAUUUGGAGAGGAAAGUCCGGACACCAUAGGGAAGCAUAACGGCUAACGGCCGUCGUCCCGAUUUUAAUCGGGAUAGGACCAGUGCAGCAGAAAGAAUGUACAGGUAAUGCUGUAGUGAAAUCAGGUAAACUCUAUGCGGUGAAAUGCCACGUAAACCUACAUUUGAGGGUUCCCGCCCAAGUAGGAGGGUAGGCAGAUAGAGCACACGGGUAACUUUGUGCCUAGAUAAAUGAUAAGGGUCCCGAUCCCUAUCGGGAUACAGAACCCGGCUUACAGGCCUGCUUUUUUA
rnacentral:RNase_P_RNA from 1 species